UUCCUACGGGGCGCAGCAGUGAGGAAUAUUGGUCAAUGGGCGGGAGCCUGAACCAGCCAAGUCGCGUGAGGGAAGACGGUCCUAUGGAUUGUAAACCUCUUUAGGCGGGGAGCAAUGCCGGGCACGUGUGCCCGGAGGGAGAGUACCCGCAGAAUAAGCAUCGGCUAACUCCGUGCCAGCAGCCGCGGUAAUACGGAGGAUGCGAGCGUUAUCCGGAUUUAUUGGGUUUAAAGGGUGCGUAGGCGGGACGGUAAGUCAGCGGUAAAAAUGCGGAGCUCAACUCCGUCG
rnacentral:rRNA from 1 species